CGCGUGAGGGAUGACGGCCUUCGGGUUGUAAACCUCUUUUAGCAGGGAAGAAGCGAAAGUGACGGUACCUGCAGAAAAAGCGCCGGCUAACUACGUGCCAGCAGCCGCGGUAAUACGUAGGGCGCAAGCGUUAUCCGGAAUUAUUGGGCGUAAAGAGCUCGUAGGCGGUUUGUCGCGUCUGCUGUGAAAUCCGGAGGCUCAACCUCCGGCCUGCAGUGGGUACGGGCAGACUAGAGUGCGGUAGGGGAGAUUGGAAUUCCUGGUGUAGCGGUGGAAUGCGCAGAUAUCAGGAGGAACACCGAUGGCGAAGGCAGAUCUCUGGGCCGUAACUGACGCUGAGGAGCGAAAGGGUGGGGAGCAAACAGGCUUAGAUACCCUGGUAGUCCACCCCGUAAACGUUGGGAACUAGUUGUGGGGUCCAUUCCACGGAUUCCGUGACGCAGCUAACGCAUUAAGUUCCCCGCCUGGGGAGUACGGCCGCAAGGCUAAAACUCAAAGGAAUUGACGGGGACCCGCACAAGCGGCGGAGCAUGCGGAUUAAUUCGAUGCAACGCGAAGAACCUUACCAAGGCUUGACAUAUACGAGAACGGGCCAGAAAUGGUCAACUCUUUGGACACUCGUAAACAGGUGGUGCAUGGUUGUCGUCAGCUCGUGUCGUGAGAUGUUGGGUUAAGUCCCGCAACGAGCGCAACCCUCGUUCUAUGUUGCCAGCACGUAAUGGUGGGAACUCAUGGGAUACUGCCGGGGUCAACUCGGAGGAAGGUGGGGAUGACGUCAAAUCAUCAUGCCCCUUAUGUCUUGGGCUUCACGCAUGCUACAAUGGCCCGGUACAAAGGGCUGCAAUACC
rnacentral:rRNA from 1 species